rnacentral:rRNA from 1 species
CAGUAGCCGCGGGAAUACGGAGGGGGCUAGCGUUGUUCGGAAUUACUGGGCGUAAAGCGCACGUAGGCGGCUUGGUAAGUUAGAGGUGAAAGCCCGGAGCUCAACUCCGGAAUUGCCUUUAAGACUGCCGAGCUAGCAGGUGAGAGAGGUAAGUGGAAUUCCGAGUGUAGAGGUGAAAUUCGUAGAUAUUCGGAAGAACACCAGUGGCGAAGGCGGCUUACUGGCUCAUACUGGACGCUGAGGUGCGAAAGCGUGGGGAGCAAACAGGAUUAGAUACCCGCGUAGUCCCUGUCUCUUAUAC